UAUUGAAGAAUGAGCCGGCGAGUGUAUCUGUAUCCUUUGUCUAAGUGGUAACCCCACGGAGGCGUAGUGAAAGCGAGCGUGAAUAGCGCGAAUAUAGGGUACGGAUACGACCCGAAGCGGGAUGAGCUUGCCAUGUGCAGGGUGAAGCGAAGGUAAAACUUCGUGGAGGCCCGAACCGGUUGGCCGUUCAAAACCAUCGGAUGACAUGUGGUAGGGAGUGAAAAGCUAAUCGAAUUCCGUAAUAGCUGGUUCUCUCCGAAACAGCUUUAGGGUUGGCGUCGUGUGUUCCUCCUGGGGGUAGAGCUCUGGAAGGUCUAAAUAGGGAGAAAUCUCGUUAGACCUAUCAAACUACGAAUACCAGGCAGUCACAGCACGGCAGUUAGACUACGGGGGAGAAGCUCCGUCGGUCGAAAGGGAAACAGCCCAGAUCGCCAGUUAAGGUCCCAAAAUAUAUGCUCAGUGCAACUUGAGGAGGUGAGGAUUCAUCAACAGUCAGGAUGUUGGCUUAGAAGCAGCCAUCAUUUAAAGAAAGCGUAACAGCUCACUGAUCGAGAGUCCUUGCGCCGAAGAUGAUCGGGGCUCAAGCAUAUUACCGAAACUGCGGAUGUCAUAUUUCUUCGGAAAUAUGGCGUGGUAGGAGAGCCCUCUAUUCUGCGAUGAAGCCAAGGUGAGAACCGCGGUGGAGCGUAUAGAAGUGAGAAUGCCGGCACAAGUAACCGCAAGACGGGUGAGAACCCCGUCCGCCGAAAUACCGAGGUUUCCUUCGCUAUGCUGAUCAGCGAAGGGUUAGUCGGUCCUAAGCCAAUCCCGAAUGGGGGAGGCGAUGGAGAGCAGGUUAAUAUUCCUGCACACUGGUACGUUGCGAUGGAGGGACGGAGUGUUGUACCUAAAGCAUCUUAUUGGAUUGGUGCUGGAGCUUCGAGGACGUAUGGUAGGCAAAUCCGCCAUACACUAGUCCGAGUUGAGUCUGAAUGUGAGGCCUCGGCCGAGCAAAUGAGGGGAGCACGCUUUCUAGAAAAACUUCUAAGCAUAAACGUAUCGGUUCCGUACCGCAAACCGACACAGGUGGUAGGGUCGAGAAGACCAAGGCGAACGAGUGAGGGGUCCUUAAGGAACUCGGCAAAAAAGCGGCCGUAACUUCGGGAUAAGGCCUGCCCUAAUAUCGCAAGAUAUGUGGGGCCGCAGCGAAAGAUUUCCUGGCAACUGUUUAACAAAAACACAGCUCCCUGCGAACACGUAAGUGGAUGUAUAGGGGGUGACGCCUGACCAAUGCCGGAAGGUUAAAUAUGGGGGGUCUUAUGUAUUUAUAUGUAAGGCUGGACUAUAUAAGCCCCGGUCAAUGUCAGCGAUAACUAUAAUCGUUCUAAGGUAGAGCAUUUUUCUUCGGAAAAAUGCUCUCGGACUGGAACGAUUAUAGGUGUAAACAGAACACGUCAAGCUACCUUACGUGCAGUAAUGUACGUAUAGUCCACAAUGCAACCAACAAGAGACCAAAUGUUGCACAUCCUCACUCAGUAAUGAGCGGAUGAAGAUAGAGUCCUUCUGCAGAACAAGAGGAAUAGAAGAGCGCAAUUCCUUGUCGGGUAAGUUCCGACGUGCACGAAAGGCGUAAUGACUGGGAAACUGUCUCAAGGACCUGCUCGGUGAAAAUACAAUGGGGGUGAAGAUGCCCCCUACCUGCAAUUAGACGAAAAGACCCCAGGAGCUUUACUGUAGCUUCGUAUUGGGGCUGUUUGAUUAAUGCGUAGCAUAGAUGGGAGAAUUUGAAGUGGGCUUUCGGGU
rnacentral:rRNA from 1 species